rnacentral:rRNA from 1 species
CCCUUAGAUGUUCUGGGCUGCACGCGCGCUACACUGAUACCUUCAGCGAGUCCAGCACCUUGCCUGGGAAGGUGGGGUAACCUCUGGAAAGUGUAUCGUGAUGGGGAUAGAUUAUUGUAAUUAUUAAUCUUCAACGAGGAAUUCCUAGUAAGCAUGUGUCAUCAGCCCGUGCUGAAUACGUCCCUGCCCUUUGUACACACCGCCCGUCGCUCCUACCGAUUGAGUGGUCCGGUGAGGCUUUGGGAUCUGAGCGGAAAGAGCGUUUCGCUGUUUCUGCCCGGAAAACUCAGUCGAACCUUAUCAUUUAGAGGAAGGAGAAGUCGUAACA